rnacentral:lncRNA from 1 species
AUGAUUCCACCUGCCGCACAUAGAUGGGCUGGGUUCUCAGCCACCCCUGUGUUUUUUUCUCUUCUUUUUCUCCUCCUUUUCCUCUUGCUCUACCCCUUCCUUCUUCUUCUUCUCCCUCUCCCUCCUUGUCCUCUUCCUCCUCCUCUUCUCCCUUCUCCUACUCCUCCUCUUCCUCCUCCUCUUCUUCCUCCUCUUCCACCUUCUCCUCUUCCUCCUCCUCUUCCUCCUCUUCUUCCUCCUCCUCCUCUUCCUCCUCCUCCUCUUCUUCCUCCUCCUCUUCUUUCUCCUCCUCCUCUUCCUCCUCCUCCUCUUCCUCCUCCUCUUCCUCCUCAUCCUCUUCCUCCUCCUCCUCUUUUUCCUCCUCCUCUUUCUCAUUCUCCUCCUUUUCCUCCUCCUCCUUUCUCCUCCUCUUCUUCCUCCUCUUCCUCUUUUUCCUCCUCUUUUUCCUCCUACUCCUCCUCUUCUUCCUCCUCCUCCUCUUCCUCCUCCUCUUUUUCCUACUCCUCUUCCUUCUCCUCUUUUUCCUCCUCCUCCUCUUCUUUCUCCUCCUCUUCCUCCUCCUCUUCCACCUCCUCCUCCUCCUCUUCUUCCUCCUCCUAUUUCUCCUCCUCUUCCUCCUCCUUCUCCUCUUCCUCCUCCUCCUCUUCUUCCUCCUCCUCCUUUCUCCUCUUCCUCCUCCUCCUCUUCUUCCUCCUCCUCCUUUCUCCUCUUAUUUCACCUCCUCCUCUUCCUCCUCCUCUUCUUCCUCCUCCUCUUCUUCCUCCUCCUCCUCUUCCUCCUCCUCUUCUUCCUCCUCCUCUUAUUCCUCCUCCUCCUCCUCCUCUUCCUCCUCCUCCUCUUUAUCCUCCUCCUCCUCUUCCUUUUCUCCUCCUCUUCUUUUCCUCCUCCUCCUCUUCCUCCUCCUUCCCUGCUCCUCCUCCUCCUUUUCUCCUCUUCUCCUCCUCCUCCCUCCUUUCCUUCCUCUUUUCUUCUUCUUCCUCUACUUCUGCUUCUUCUUUCCAUCAUCCCUAUAGUUACUGCAAUACCCACUCCCUGAUUUCCAAAUUCAUUUAA